ensembl:snoRNA
AUCCCUCUGUAUUUUCUAAGUGUGAUAUUGGGUUUCACAGUCAUGUGAGAUGUGCCUCCCUCGAACCCUGUCAUACCACCAGCACAUGACCCGUCCCACG